CCGUAUGAUCACCGAAGUUAAGCAGCGUAGAGCCAGGUCAGUACUUAGAUGGGGGACCGCUUGGGAACACCUGGUACUGUAAG